rnacentral:piRNA from 1 species
UCAAUUCAGUCAUCUCCCAUGGGGCU